rnacentral:rRNA from 1 species
UACGUAGGGGGCGAGCGUUGUCCGGAUUUAUUGGGCGUAAAGAGCUCGUAGGCGGUUUGGUAAGUCGGGUGUGAAAUCCCCACGCUCAACGUGGAGGGGCCACUCGAUACUGCCAUGACUCGAGUCCGGUAGAGGAGUGUGGAAUUCCCGGUGUAGCGGUGAAAUGCGCAGAUAUCGGGAGGAACACCUAUGGCGAAGGCAGCUCGCUGGGACGUUACUGACGCUGAGACGCGAAAGCGUGGGGAGCAAACAGG